CAUGAUGGGAGGGAUACUUCGGAAACAAAGGAAUCCUUCUGAAAGGUGUGGGGCAAUCCGCCACACCCCAAUCUUAAGGAGUGGGAGGAGAGGGCGGAUGAGGCGGAGGGGAGGGGCAUGAGGCCACGCCCCUUCCCUUUCACUUAAUUGGCCGCCUGCUCCAGUCUGCGACUUCACCCAGCCGGGCCCAAAUGUUCCUCGCGCCUUCCAGAUACGAUUUUACUUAAACAGCCUUCCUGUGCUUAGGUCAUUGAAAGCCAGCACUAUCUUUAAGUUACCAAUGUAUCCCAAUGCCUGGUACGCUGUAAAGCAUGCUGUGAUUAUUAAGGGUCUCAGAAGAGUUUUUUUCUGGGCUCCAGUUAUGGAACGUGUAGGUCCUGAAUUUUUGCAGAAGAUACUGAAAAAAAAUCUUUAAUAGGAACUUAUUAGUUUGAAGUAACUUUUAUGAAGGAUGUACUUUUAAGUGUUCAUGGUAUACCUCUAAAUGAUUUCAUGCAAAUAUCUCAGAUGUAUUAUUUUUAUUGCAUAAAGCACACUUUAGUUUUUUUUCUGAACUCCUUAGAUAAGAAGCCUUCUGGGAACAUAUUUGUCAUCAAAAAGCUUAUAACUGUGUGCCCUAGGAACAUGAAACUUCAUAAAAUUUUAUGACUCAGUAAAACAUUAAAGUGAUUAGAACUCCCCAAAUUAACUUUUAUUACUAAUUUAAUAUGAGAACUGAAGAUACACCAAAACAGAAGCAAGGAAAGUUAGUCUCAAAAAGUAGGAUUUAUCCAGGGUAUAUAUUAACAGUUGAUUAAUGAUAGUGUCCAGGACUUCUGACUCCAACACCAAUACUUUGACCCUGUGUCAGCAUUUCUGUUCCUAAAGUUCUUGGUUAGCUGAAAAGAAAUGAUUGUGGUGGCCAUUUGUAACAAAGCCUUGAUUUUAUUUUAAGAGGGUCAGUUUUGGCCUAUAGCGGUGCUUCUCAAAGUGUCAUUCCUGGACCUGCAGCAUUGCCAUCACCCAGGAACGUGUUAGAAAUGCACAUUUUCAGGCCCCAUCACAGAUUUCCUAAAUCAAAAACUCUGGAGAUGAAGCUCAGUAAUUUGUGUUUCAAUAAACAUUGUCCGUAAUUCUGA